rnacentral:rRNA from 1 species
AAGGCGCGCGAUACAGGGUGACAGCCCCGUACACAAAAGCGUAUGUGCUGUGAGCUCGAUGAGUAGGGCGGGACACGUGGUAUCCUGUCUGAAUAUGGGGGGACCAUCCUCCAAGGCUAAAUACUCCUGACUGACCGAUAGUGAACCAGUACCGUGAGGGAAAGGCGAAAAGAACCCCGGCGAGGGGAGUGAAAAAGAACCUGAAACCGUGUACGUACAAGCAGUGGGAGCCCCACCACUAAGCCAGUGGUGAACUCCACAUACGCAUCCUUUGCUGAGGAUACGGUUAACGGAGCGAAAGCGACGUUCAACCGCAAAAGAAGCAGAGGGGGCUUAGUGGUGGGGUGACUGCGUACCUUUUGUAUAAUGGGUCAGCGACUUAUAUUCUGUAGCAAGGUUAACCGAAUAGGGGAGCCGGAGGGAAACCGAGUCUUAACCGGGCGUUAAGUUGCAGGGUAUAGACCCGAAACCCGGUGAUCUAGCCAUGGGCAGGUUGAAGGUUGGGUAACACUAACUGGAGGACCGAACCGACUAAUGUUGAAAAAUUAGCGGAUGACCUGUGGCUGGGGGUGAAAGGCCAAUCAAACCGGGAGAUAGCUGGUUCUCCCCGAAAGCUAUUUAGGUAGCGCCUCGUGAAUUCAUCUCCGGGGGUAGAGCACUGUUUCGGCUAGGGGGCCAUCCCGGCUUACCAACCCGAUGCAAACUGCGAAUACCGGAGAAUGUUAUCACGGGAGACACACGGCGGGUGCUAACGUCCGUCGUGAAGAGGGAAACAACCCAGACCGCCAGCUAAGGUCCCAAAGUCAUGGUUAAGUGGGAAACGAUGUGGGAAGGCCCAGACAGCCAGGAUGUUGGCUUAGAAGCAGCCAUCAUUUAAAGAAAGCGUAAUAGCUCACUGGUCGAGUCGGCCUGCGCGGAAGAUGUAACGGGGCUAAACCAUGCACCGAAGCUGCGGCAGCGAACGUAUCACUUAAAGCGAUUCAGCGGGUUACGAUUGACG